GUGAAUCAUCAAAUCUUUGAACGCAUAUUGCACUCUCUGGUAUUCCGGAGAGUAUGCCUGUUUCGGGGUCAGUUUAAAUAAAAACCACUUAGUUGCUGUUUCUCGGUGAUAUUCGUCGGAAAUUGGGUCAUCUUAAACUUUUGGGAUUUUUAAGCGGCUUAACAUUUUCUUUACGAUUGCACGAACGUUUCUAAGAUUUUAUUUCUUAUAUACGAUUAAGGUAUCG
rnacentral:misc_RNA from 1 species